GAUGAACGCUGGCGGCGUGCUUAACACAUGCAAGUCGAACGGUGAAGCAGGAGCUUGCUCUUGUGGAUCAGUGGCGAACGGGUGAGUAACACGUGAGCAACCUGCCCCUGACUCUGGGAUAAGCGCUGGAAACGGCGUCUAAUACUGGAUAUGUGAUGUGACCGCAUGGUCUGCAUCUGGAAAGAAUUUCGGUUGGGGAUGGGCUCGCGGCCUAUCAGCUUGUUGGUGGGGUAAUGGCUCACCAAGGCGUCGACGGGUAGCCGGCCUGAGGGGGUGACCGGCCACACUGGGACUGAGACACGGCCCAGACUCCUACGGGAGGCAGCAGUGGGGAGUAUUGCUCAAUGGGCGGAAGCCUGAUGCAGCAACGCCGCGUGAGGGAUGACGGCCUUCGGGUUGUAAACUUCUUUUAGCAGGGAAGAAGCGAAAGUGACGGUACCUGCAGAAAAAGCACCGGCUAACUACGUGCCAGCCGCCGCCGUAA
rnacentral:rRNA from 1 species